UGGGCUGCUGUGUUUCUAGUAUCUAAUAUUAUAAAGAAGAGUUUCUCUCUUUCCUCAUUCCGCCACGUCAUCAAUUGGGUACAGGAGAGCGCGACACGUGUCCACUUCUUCAAAAACUCACCAUUUCAUUUAAAGUGUGGGCUGCUGUGUUUCAGUUACGUGUUUUUAUUAUUUAGUGGGUCUUAGAAUUUUACUCAUAUAAUUCAGCCCAAAGACAGCUAGACCAGCCGAAAGAAUUUUAGGGUUUCGUGUUCUUUUCCAUAAUUAAUCGACGAGUCUUCUUCGGAAAGUAUUCUUAUAUGUCCCAAUUAGAAAAAAACUUAUUCUCAUUACCCCCACUCUUUUUCUAACUAUCCCAUCUUUCUUCUUCUUCUUCCCCUCUUACCCCUUCUUUUUAUAUUAGUUUCCAUUAAAUUUGUGGAUCCCACUUUCCUUUUCUUUUUUUAUAUUAUUAAAACAGUUUGCAGACCCUACCAUUUUUUUAGUUAUAAAAACAGCUCCGUCCUUUUUUCAAUUUUUUUUAUUUUGUUUUCAAAUACCAUGGGGCCCACCAUUAUUUUUUAAUUCUUUAAUUUUUUAUCUGUACUCUUGUACGACCAGAUUUUUUUCUUUUUUUUUCAAAUUUGUGUUUUAAUUAUUAAUGAUCAAUAUAACUAAAUAUUAUAGAAGCCAAAAAAAAUUCUGUUUAUCUUAACAUAAUAUUUUUACAUAAGUAAAUUAACAAAAAAAAUUAUUUCAAUUUUAUUUUAAUCAACAAUUAAUUUUAAAAAUAAAUUUAAUAAAAUACACAUAUAAACUAAUUUCUCUAACCUAAAAUUUAUCUCUUUUAUAUAAAGUGAUCAAACUUAAAAUAAGAUAUUUUAUUUUAAUAAACAACUAAUUUUAAAAUUAUUUAUAUAAAUUAUUUCAAAAACAUUUCAUUUUUUUAAUAAAAUACGAUUUCAAUAAUAUUUUAAUUAAAUAAUAUCAAAUAAAUUUAUAAAC
rnacentral:lncRNA from 1 species